rnacentral:lncRNA from 10 species
AAUCCCAGCACUUUGGGAGGCUGAGCCACCACGCCCGGCCUCUUUUCUGUCUUUCUUUCCUGUUUUCUUACACCCUGUCUCUUCCCUUUUUCCUUCUGUCUGUCUCUCCCUCUCUGUUUCUCUGUGUCUUUCUCCUUCCUGCCCCUGGCCUCUGUUUCUCUCCAGCACCUGCCUGGAUUGGUGGUGUCAUUCCCAUUUUACAGACGAGAGACCUGGGGCUCUGAGAAGCCGAUGGCUUGCCUGAGACCACCCAGCUGAGAGGCAGAGCUGGGAUCCGAGUCUAGGUCUCUGUGACUCCAUUCUCUGUGCUUUUCCCAAUUCCGCUCAGAAGUGUCCCAGGUAGUGCCAGGGAAGAGAGAUGGGGGAGGGGGAGCUCAGGCAGCUGUGGUGACAUUUUCAGAGGGAAAUGGUCUGCCCUAGAGGGGCCCAGAGGGCCUUUUGUGCUUUCUUUAUACUUCCUGGAUCUGAACUGGAAAAAAACAUGCAAGGGCUGCUUCACACAUGAUUCCUGAUUCACGCAGACACAAAAGAACGAACCCAGCCAAACAAAUCACACAGCCCAACACACAGAUGGAAGCUUUUCCUUCUGCAUUUCUACCUAGUCCUUCAUAAAUCAAUUAAUAAUGUACCACCCUUAUAAAGAACAUAAAAUGGGGAUUUUUUUUUUUUUUCUUGAGAUGGAGUCUCACUCUGUUACCAGGCUGGAGUGCA